GAACAAACCAGUAAAGGGUGGGUCUGCUCCUGGCAGAAAUACAUUUCAUGCAUUGGUACAUACUGUUCCCCAGGCUUCUCUUCCAUUCCUAGCAGCCAAGCAGAUCCUUAUUCAGCCUGCAAAACCCAGAGAUGAAGAAGCAAUCGAAUUUAUCUCUACAUGGAAGAAAAAUGUGAGUUCUCAUAGUCCAGUCUCGGAAGACCAGAGUACAGGCAAGUGCUUCUCCAACUGUUUGGCUCACAGUCAGUAGGAAAAACAAGCUAUACCAUAAUCCAGUAGCAAAUAAUCAAGCUGUGAUGGUUGGUCUGUCUAGAGUCACCUAGAAUGAGACUCUCAGCAAAGGGUUGUCUACCUUGGCUUGGCCUGUGUAGAUGUCUGUGGGGACAUUGUCAGAAGUCAACCAAGCCCAGAGUAUGCAGGGAGUCCUAAACUAUAUAAGAGUGGAGAAACUGAGCUAAAGAACUGAUCAACAAGCAACUAAUUGACCACAUGUGCACCCAUUUCUCUCUGCUCCCGACUGCGGAUGUGAUACCAGUUGUUUGAAGUUUCGCCUUGGUUCCCCUACAACGGUGAGCCUGGAACCUGGAAUUGCAAGCUGAACUAAACUCCCUCCCCAUGACUUGCUGUCUGUUGGAAUAUUUUACCACAGCAACGGGAAUGUAAUGAAUAUAUUUCAGAUGGACGCACGGCCAGGAAGCUAACUCUGCGGGUGGAGGACACCUACAGUGCUAACUUAGCCGUGUGGACGUGUGGGUCAGUAUGUAAACAGAUAGAUAUGCAGAUUUGUAAAACAAAACUUCAUAAAAUGUCGUUGCACGCUGCUCUAUUAUCAGA